rnacentral:lncRNA from 1 species
AGAGCUGCGGUGCCUGGCGGAGGAGCUGAGCCGCUGCCAGGUGGCAGACCAUGUCUGACAAAAUAUUUGACACGGAAGUACAUCUGAGGCGAAGGUGUGGAAUUGAAUUCCUCCAUGUGGAAAGAGUUGUACGUUUUGACAUUGGUGGCUAGCAUGUGAAAGGAAGUCCAAGUUCUGGAUGGCCAUGCACUGCUAUCACCUGCGUGAAUCAGCUGAUGGUGAUGACUGCAAUGAAAAACAAUGUUCUGUAGCUAAGAAUUUCCUCUGUCAAGAAGUGC